GGCGAACCGUGCGAACGUUAUUCGGAAUCACUGGGCUUAAAGCGCGUGUAGGCGGGCCGCCACGUCGGGCGCUGAAAUCCCCCGGCUCAACCGGGGAACGGGCACCGAUACGAGCGGCCUGGAGGGGAGUAGGGGGACCUGGAACUUCCGGUGGAGCGGUGAAAUGCGUUGAGAUCGGAAGGAACGCCCGUGGCGAAAGCGAGGUCCUGGGCUCCUGCUGACGCUGAGACGCGAAAGCCAGGGGAGCGAACGGG
rnacentral:rRNA from 1 species